UUUACUCCUACAUACUUUUCUAUCUCUAUCUACAUCUCAUCUUCAUCAUCAUCAUCAACAAUCACUCUUCUAUUCCUCUUUCUAAUUCUAAGCUUUCUGUUUCUAAUUUGUUACUCAUGUAUAGAAGAAGAGGAAGUAUGCAUAGAGGACUUCUCUUUAUGAUCACUAACUCUCUUAUAUUCCUCUCUUUCUUUAUCUCUCUCUCACUUAUAUCUCUCUUGCACACACAAACAGACACAUGUUCAUCAAGAACACUUGUCUUUCUUUCUCUAAACUUAAACAUAUUCUUAGUAUUGUAUACAUACACACACAAACACAUGUACAUGAGAAAUAUAUGUGUAUAUAUAUAUGUAGACUUGUAUUAAUUUCUUUAUCUCUAAAGUUUGGUGUUGUUGGUUAUAAUUGGUUAUAAGAGGGAAGAGAAGGCAUGGUGAUGGUGAUGGUGCUGCUGCUGCUGCUGCUGCUGCUGCUGUUGACAGAAGAUAGAGAGCACAGAUGAUGAAUUGCAUGGAGCUGUGCAUGCAUCUCUUUCCUUUGUGCUCUCUAUGCUUCUGUCAUCACCUUCAUGAGCCCCUCCCUAACUAUACAUAUAUAUAUAUAUAUAUAUAUAUAUCUAUGGAAUAUGUUUCUUUUUAAAUUAAUAUGUUGGUAGACUUGUUCUUAAUUUAUAUUUUUUGGUUCUUAGAUCAUAUGGCAGUCAUGUGCUUAUUAAACUCAAUUCUGAUACUUGUCAUACAUAUGUUUUAUGUUGUCUGUAAGGUUUCCACUGCCAGUGGCAAACAAGGUGAAUUUUUGAAGAAGAGACAAGGUGGGAGAGAGGAAUAUAUGUAUGCAUACAAGUACAACAGCUAUUCAUAAUAUAAAAAGCUGGGAAGCUAGGCUCAGGCUGUGUUCAACUUGGCCACAAGUUUUGCUUUACGAAAUGGGCCAGCGUGGAAAAGGACAAAUGAACAGAAAGAGUUUCUGACAGUGAUAUCAUAUUUAAUAUAUAAAACAAAUCAUCAUCAUCAUCAACAUCAUUAUGAUUAUCAAUCAAAAA